AGAAAUUUAUCCUUAAGCUCCUCAAUAACCAUUUUCCUGCUAACUAAAUUCAUGGUUAAGGUUGCAUAAUGAUACGCAACAAAUGUAUAACAUUUUCUUUACCAAAAGAAAUAAACAAAAGCGACCGACAAAAGCAUCGGAUUACGGCAGGAGACAUAAUGGCAUGGCUGAAAGUACUGUAACGGCAGACAGCAAACUGACAAGUAGUGAUACACGUCGCCGCAUUUGGGCGAUUGUGGGGGCCUCUUCAGGUAAUCUGGUCGAGUGGUUCGAUUUCUAUGUCUACUCGUUCUGUUCACUCUACUUCGCCCACAUUUUCUUCCCUUCCGGGAACACGACGACUCAACUACUACAAACAGCAGGUGUUUUUGCUGCGGGAUUCCUGAUGCGCCCAAUAGGCGGUUGGCUAUUUGGCCGCAUAGCCGAUAAACAUGGUCGCAAAAAAUCGAUGCUGUUAUCGGUGUGUAUGAUGUGUUUCGGAUCGCUGGUUAUCGCCUGCCUCCCAGGUUAUGAAACUAUAGGUACGUGGGCUCCGGCAUUAUUGCUUCU
rnacentral:rRNA from 1 species